rnacentral:rRNA from 1 species
AUGCAGUCGAGCGAUGAAGUUUCCUUCGGGAAACGGAUUAGCGGCGGACGGGUGAGUAACACGUGGGUAACCUGCCUCAUAGAGUGGAAUAGCCUUCCGAAAGGAAGAUUAAUACCGCAUAAUGUUGAAAGAUGGCAUCAUCAUUCAACCAAAGGAGCAAUCCGCUAUGAGAUGGACCCGCGGCGCAUUAGCUAGUUGGUGGGGUAACGGCCUACCAAGGCGACGAUGCGUAGCCGACCUGAGAGGGUGAUCGGCCACAUUGGGACUGAGACACGGCCCAGACUCCUACGGGAGGCAGCAGUGGGGAAUAUUGCACAAUGGGGGAAACCCUGAUGCAGCAACGCCGCGUGAGUGAUGAAGGUUUUCGGAUCGUAAAGCUCUGUCUUUGGGGAAGAUAAUGACGGUACCCAAGGAGGAAGCCACGGCUAACUACGUGCCAGCAGCCGCGGUAAUACGUAGGUGG